rnacentral:tRNA from 2 species
GCGCUCGUAGCUCAGGUGGAUAGAGCAGGAGCCUUCUAAGCUCUUGGCCGGGGGUUCGAAUCCUCCCGGGCGCGCCA